rnacentral:rRNA from 1 species
GACGAACGCUGGCGGCGUGCUUAACACAUGCAAGUCGAACGGUAAGGCCCUUCGGGGUACACGAGUGGCGAACGGGUGAGUAACACGUGGGUGACCUGCCCUGCACUUCGGGAUAAGCCUGGGAAGCUGGGUCUAAUACCGGAUAGGACUCCGGACUGCAUGGUCUGGGGUGGAAAGCUUUUGCGGUGUGGGAUGGGCCCGCGGCCUAUCAGCUUGUUGGUGGGGUGAUGGCCUACCAAGGCGACGACGGGUAGCCGGCCUGAGAGGGUGACCGGCCCCACUGGGCCUGGGAUACGGCCCAGACUCCUACGGGAGGCAGCAGUGGGGAAUAUUGCACAAUGGGUGCAAGCCUGAUGCAGCGACGCCGCGUGAGGGAUGACGGCCUUCGGGUUGUAAACCUCUUUCAGCAUCGACGAAGCGAAAGUGACGGUAGGUGCAGAAGAAGGACCGGCCAACUACGUGCCAGCCGCCGCAGUAA